rnacentral:rRNA from 1 species
GUACCCUGGUAGUCUACGCUGUAAACGAUGUCGACUUGGAGGUUGUGCCCUUGAGGCGUGGCUUCCGGAGCUAACGCGUUAAGUCGACCGCCUGGGGAGUACGGCCGCAAGGUUAAAACUCAAAUGAAUUGACGGGGGCCCGCACAAGCGGUGGAGCAUGUGGUUUAAUUCGAUGCAACGCGAAGAACCUUACCUACUCUUGACAUCCACGGAAUUCGCCAGAGAUGGCUUAGUGCCUUCGGGAACCGUGAGACAGGUGCUGCAUGGCUGUCGUCAGCUCGUGUUGUGAAAUGUUGGGUUAAGUCCCGCAACGAGCGCAACCCUUAUCCUUUGUUGCCAGCACGUAAUGGUGGGAACUCAAAGGAGACUGCCGGUGAUAAACCGGAGGAAGGUGGGGAUGACGUCAAGUCAUCAUGGCCCUUACGAGUAGGGCUACACACGUGCUACAAUGGCAUAUACAAAGAGAAGCGAACUCGCGAGAGCAAGCGGACCUCAUAAAGUAUGUCGUAGUCCGGAUUGGAGUCUGCAACUCGACUCCAUGAAGUCGGAAUCGCUAGUAAUCGUAGAUCAGAAUGCUACGGUGAAUACGUUCCCGGGCCUUGUACACACCGCCCGUCACACCAUGGGAGUGGGUUGCAAAAGAAGUAGGUAGCUUAACCUUCUGUGACGGGCG